rnacentral:tRNA from 1 species
GGGCGAAUGGUUUAGUGGUAUAAUACUCCCUUAGCAUGUGUUAGGAAAAUAAUUCAGCGCUUGGGAGUGGUCCGGGGUUCGAUUCCCCGUUUGUCCA